rnacentral:rRNA from 1 species
GUGGGGAAUAUUGGUCAAUGGACGAGAGUCUGAACCAGCCAAGUAGCGUGCAGGAUGACGGCCCUAUGGGUUGUAAACUGCUUUUAUACAGGGAUAAAGUGGGGAACGUGUUCCCUUUUGUAGGUACUGUAUGAAUAAGGACCGGCUAAUUCCGUGCCAGCAGCCGCGGUAAUACGGAAGGUCCGGGCGUUAUCCGGAUUUAUUGGGUUUAAAGGGAGCGCAGGCUGAUGAUUAAGCGUGACGUGAAAUGUAGCCGCUCAACGGCUGAACUGCGUCGCGAACUGGUUAUCUUGAGUGAGUUCGAUGUUGGCGGAAUUCGUGGUGUAGCGGUGAAAUGCUUAGAUAUCACGAAGAACUCCGAUUGCGAAGGCAGCCAACAAGGCCUUUACUGACGCUAAAGCUCGAAGGUGCGGGUAUCGAACAGG